rnacentral:rRNA from 1 species
UGGAACAGCUAUAAUGCAGUCGAACGAACUUCCGUUAAUUGAUUAUGACGUACUUGUACUGAUUGAGAUUUUAACACGAAGUGAGUGGCGAACGGGUGAGUAACACGUGGGUAACCUGCCCAGAAGUAGGGGAUAACACCUGGAAACAGAUGCUAAUACCGUAUAACAGAGAAAACCGCAUGGUUUUCUUUUAAAAGAUGGCUCUGCUAUCACUUCUGGAUGGACCCGCGGCGUAUUAGCUAGUUGGUGAGGUAAAGGCUCACCAAGGCAGUGAUACGUAGCCGACCUGAGAGGGUAAUCGGCCACAUUGGGACUGAGACACGGCCCAGACUCCUACGGGAGGCAGCAGUAGGGAAUCUUCCACAAUGGACGCAAGUCUGAUGGAGCAACGCCGCGUGAGUGAAGAAGGGUUUCGGCUCGUAAAGCUCUGUUGUUAAAGAAGAACGUGGGUAAGAGUAACUGUUUACCCAGUGACGGUAUUUAACCAGAAAGCCACGGCUAACUACGUGCCAGCAGCCGCGGUAAUACGUAGGUGGCAAGCGUUAUCCGGAUUUAUUGGGCGUAAAGCGAGCGCAGGCGGUCUUUUAAGUCUAAUGUGAAAGCCUUCGGCUCAACCGAAGAAGUGCAUUGGAAACUGGGAGACUUGAGUGCAGAAGAGGACAGUGGAACUCCAUGUGUAGCGGUGAAAUGCGUAGAUAUAUGGAAGAACACCAGUGGCGAAGGCGGCUGUCUGGUCUGCAACUGACGCUGAGGCUCGAAAGCAUGGGUAGCGAACAGGAUUAGAUACCCUGGUAGUCCAUGCCGUAAACGAUGAUUACUAAGUGUUGGAGGGUUUCCGCCCUUCAGGUGCUGCAGCUAACGCAUUAAGUAAUCCGCCUGGGGAGUACGACCGCAAGGUUGAAACUCAAAAGAAUUGACGGGGGGCCCGCAACAAGCGGUGGGAGCAUGUGGGUUUAAUUCGAAGGCUUACGCGAAGAACCUUUACCCAGGUCUUUGACAUCUUUCUGGACAGUCUAAGGAGAAUUUAGAGGAUUCCCAUUCGGGGGCACAGAAUGACCAGUUGAUUGCAUUGGAUUUGAUUCGUCCAGCUCCGAGUGAUUCGGUUGUGGAGU